GAUGAACGCUAGCGGCAGGCCUAAUACAUGCAAGUCGAACGAGAUUACGAGGCUUGCUUCUUAUGAAAGUGGCGCACGGGUGCGUAACGCGUAUGCAACCUACCUUAAUCAGGGGGAUAGCCCGAAGAAAUUCGGAUUAAGACCGCAUAAAAACACAGGAUAGCAUUAUCCAAUGUUCAAAUAUUUAUAGGAUUAAGAUGGGCAUGCGUGUCAUUAGCUAGUUGGCGGGGUAACGGCCCACCAAGGCGACGAUGACUAGGGGAUCUGAGAGGAUGACCCCCCCCCCUGGAACUGGGACACGGACCAGACUCCUCCGGGAGGCAGCAGUAAGGAAUAUUGGUCAAGGGAGGGAACUCUGAACCAGCCAUGCCGGGUGCAGGAAGACAGCCCCUUGGGUCGUAAACUGUUUUUAUUCGGGAAUAAACCUUUCUCCGUGUAGGAAGCUAAAUGUACCGAAGGAAUAAGGAUCGGCUAACUCCGU
rnacentral:rRNA from 1 species